AAGGGAGGCAAAUCUCUGAUAGCUAUUGUAGUCUUGCUCUCGAUGCCAUAUCAGAUUGACUAUGCAUACGCGGGAAGACACCUAGCGGACUGUAGACCUUCCUUUCUAUCGGCUGGAUCUUCAGCAGCAGAAGACAGUGCUGCUUCCAGCCUCACCUCGUUCCGCUGGUGUUUGUUUUACCGUUGCCCCACCCUGCCUACCCAGAGCAAGUAGCAGAAGCAAUAAUGGCUUACAUCUCUCAG